ensembl:lncRNA
CACAGUGCAACUCCAAGAUGAACCAAAUAACAAUUAACAGUUUGUAAUGUAGCAGAUGUGCAUCUAUUUUUUUUAUUUUGCUUCCGAUUUUCCUCCCUAAGGGCAGAAAAUUUAUGUUUAACCAAAUCAAGGAAAAAGGCACAUGAAUUUACUCAGGGUGUAGUAGAUUUUUUUUAUUUUCUUUUGGAGGUGGGGGGUACAUGCAAACAUGCAGUAUCACUUGCAACCCCCUUUACUACUUUACCAAUUACUCAAAACUCCUAACCUAAAUCAGACAGCAGACUGGUGACUUUGACAUUUUAAAGUGCACAUCUAAUAAUGGAACAAACAUCACUGGAUAUUAGACACCGAUUUUAAAACAAGUAUAGAGACCUCAGUCAUGCCUCAGUCAAACUUGUUGAUUCUGCAGAACUGAGUGGUUUUGUUGAGGUUUUGUUUCUUGAGGUUUUGUUUGGUUUCUCUUUUUCUUUCAAUUUUACAACAUGGAGAUGUCAGGCUAGUUCUGUCUCAGGUUUCCACCUGAAGGCAGAGUUUCGCAAUGUGGGUCAACACCUCCUCACCUGUUGGUAGUUGAUUCAACAGGCUUCAAGUGUAAGAAGGACAGGCCACAGUUCCCUAACCGACUGUUCCCAUUAAACUGGUGACUCUAGGGCACUAUCAGUCUUGUUUGAUCUCAUCCUUUUAUUCUUCUGCCCUUCUUAGCUGCUCAUUUGAGAGCCCCAUUUGGAGCAUGCUGGCUUGAGAAUCAACUUUCUUGCAAUCUGGUAACAACUCAAGCUGUUUUGUGUCUCUUCCUCACUGCUACCUGGACCUCUGGAUGUCUGCGACCCAGACUCAACCUGCCUGCCCGCUCUCCACCUGCUCUCCAAGGAAACCCACCUGCACCUACUUCCUCCAUAUUCUGCCACUCCACAGCCUCAAGGUUAGGCUUCCAGUAUCUGCGGGGAGGAAGACAACAACCACAUAUGUACAGGUUAACAAAAAACCGUGCUCUCUGUCAGCAGUACCACCACAUGGAGGAGAAAAACAAUCUAACAAUGAAUGAAGAGUUAGGGUUAAGUACUGUUGAUAACUAGAGGUUAGAAGCUCUCCCUCGGCCACGCCUACUCCUGAAAAAGAGGUCAGUGCAAUACACACACACACACCUUUACACACACACAUGCAUGCAACUGAUAGAACAUAGAGGUAGAGUAAAUAGAGGGAGGCAGUGACAGUGUUAUUGCUUAGAUCUUAAGACAUUUCGUUUCCUAGACCUAUUUGUCUUUCCACUUGUACAUUUUAUUGCUUCUUUUCUGCCUUAAACUAAACCCAACCACAAAGCAAAUACUAAAAAAAAGAAUAACAGCCUGGUACUAAUAGGAAAACCGAAGUAGGUUUGCUCAUAACCAUUCUUCCUGUUUAUAUGGUCAGGGAUUCUUUCACUUUAAUGCAACUUUAAAGUGAAUGAUUGGGGUGGGCAAUAUGCAGAAAUAAGGAGUAAUUAAUUUUGUGUCAGAUCUAUAAUAAAGCCUUGGUCUGAUUUAACAUUUCUUAUUCUUGAGCUAGUUUCCACCAUUUUUCUUCCUUUCAUUAUGUUCCUUUUUAUCCAGGUUUCACAUCCACCAAUUGGUGGUGGUGCCUUCCUCCAGAAUAGAAAGGCAUCACUUGAAGAAAGCCUAUUAAAGGACAAUGCUAGAGUGUCUCUCUGAUUCUUAAGUGUCAAUAAAAAUUCUCCAGUCUAGUUCAAAGCAUACCACAACCUCCUUAAAUUGGCACCACUCUCACACUGUUUUCAUCUGCUGUAACAUGAAAGUCUUGUGAUCUUAUACAAGAACACGAAUCAUUGUGUAACCAGGCCAGGUAUUUGAGGCCAUGCCUGCCUUACAUGGUCCUGAGGGUCUGGGAUUUUUACCCAUGAUAGGCAAACCAUUCGUCCAUACUUGACCAUACUUUUAAAAGCCAUGGCUCUAAACUGUUGGUUGUCUCACCUUGACACGUGAGUUUUUUAUGCCACCCUAAAUCAUUGAAUCACUCUUUUACAUUCAGCCCUGGAAAUAGAAAAGUAAACAUUAAAUAUAUAUAAAUAUAAAGUGCCAAGAUCUUUCUUUUUUUUGAUUGCAUUUUAUUGCGCUUGCUAUCCUGGCUGGAUUAGAUAAGUUUAUUUAGAAGAGAUGCACAUUUUGCAGCAUUUUCAGAUUAGUAUCUCUGAGAAAUAACUUGGUUGACCAAAUGUAGUUUAAGGAGCUGUUUUGCCAACGCUACACUGUAAUUUUUAAUAUUUUUCAUCCACCUAGAGAUUUUGACAGUCAACCAUGUCACACAGUGCUCAAACCCUUUAAUUUAGCUGCGAUAAAAAAGAAAAAAUCAGUUUCUAGUUUUGUCCUGAUUUUUCCUAGCACAUUAAAAGCUGUAGUCCAAACAGGACAGCUGCUACAAACAUGUUUAUUUGUAGAAUAUGUUGUACUACAAGAGAUUAAACAGAAAAUAAAAUAAAGUGAACUCAAGCUUGAACAUGUGCAGCAGCGCUGAUGGGGAACAUUUUCUGCUGAAUCAUUACUUUUGGUGCUGUUACAAACUGUGUUGUAGUGUUGGCAUCAUGGACAGGCUUUGGGGGUUCAGGCCCAC